CGAGGACAUUCAUGCGAAGUCCCCGCCGAAAAGGACAUUCAGUGCGGCUGGGCAGCUCGAGAACUCUGCGUGUCCUGCCAAUUCGUCAUACACAUAUGAAGAGGCCGAGAUGUUCAAGUCUUUCUCAGACAGCAAGAGUGGGCCUGAUGAAUUAUGUAUAAUGGAGAAGUUUGACAAUCUCCUUCAGAGAAUCGACAAUAUAAGUCAAAGACUUAGUCAUACUAAGUACAGUGCAGAUGUAGAUACGUUCACUAGUGCACAUGACUUCAAAUUGUCCAUGCACAUGGCUAAUCGUGCACGGAGCAAGACUGAACUUCCUUACAACCCACUAGAAAAGCUUGUGAACAAAGAUGAAGAGCUGGCCAACCUCCGCCACGACGUCGAAAACCUCGACAGAAGGACGAGGUUGUUAAUCCAGAAUGAUGAAAUGACAACAAUUGAGAUAAACCAAAUGAAGAACAUUAUGAGUAGUAUAUAUAAUGACACACUCCUUUGGAAAAAUGAGAAGAAUGUUGAGCUGAAUAUUCUUGGUCAAGUUGUAAGGGAUUUCCAAGAUGGAAAUUGUGCCCUACGAGAACAUUUGGAAUCUCUGAAACAAGAACUGGCUUUCUUAAGAAAUGAGCAACCAACAAUAGUAAGCACAAACAAGAAAGCAAACGUAAAGCGUGACCAAUCCCAAAUGGUCUUGAAGAAAAUAAACCGCUCAAUUCUGAUGCUCAAAUCACAGGUGAAAAAUAUGCAAAAGACCUCCCCCAUUGUAACAGGUCUGUCUAUUUAUGAUCUCUCUGGCACUACUGCCUUCUCAAACCUUACAAUGAGAGAUCAUGCAGCAAAUCCCAAAAGAACCAAGAGAAAGUCUCCUCUCUCAAGAGAAAAAACACACGAAAAAAAGGAAGAGCACGACAGCAUAAAGGCUCGGAAAAGGCCCUUUGACAAGAUGGAGUCUGCUACAAAGAAAAUAAAGCGAAGGAAAUGUUGCCCCCAAAAUAUACAACAGUCACAAAGUGAUGUAAGCACAAAGCAAAGUCACCCACAAAGGCACCCACAAAGUAAGGCACCCACAAAGCGAAGACCUACUCGUGGGGAAUGAUCAACCAUCGGAAUAUACCAGGAUAUUGGAUAAAAUGGAGUUACCUUCACAGAAGGCGCAAGGAGAGGCCUCUGCCGUUGUGCUUAAGGAGCGUAAGAGUGUGCCCGUCCUCAAGGCCAAGGAGCACUGCGAGCGAGAGAGAAAUGCGCUGGCUCUUUCUGGAGUGGAGGGAGAAGACUUCGAUAAGCUAGGGUUUGUCGUGCCCGAGGCCGAAGUGCCUGCCGAGGACAUUCACCCGGAGUCCCCGCCGAAAAGGACAUUCAGUGCGGCUGGGCAGCACGAGAACUCUGCGUGUCCUGCCAAUUCGUCGUACACAUAUGAAGAGGCCGAGAUGUUCAAGUCUUGCUCAGACAGCAAGAGUGGGCCUGAUGAACUAUAGAUAAUGGAGAAGUUUGACGAGCUCCAUCAGAGAAUUGACAAUAUAAGUGAUAGACUAAGUCGUACUAAGUACACUGCAGAUGUAGAUACCUUGACUGGUGCACAUGACAUCAGAUUGUCCACGCACAUGGCUAAUCGUGCACGUAGCAAAACUGAACUUCCUUACAAUCCACUAGAAAAGCUUGUGAACAAACAUGAGGAGCUGGCCAACCUCCAUCAAGACGUCGAAAACCUCGACAGAAGGACGAGGUUGUUAAUCCAGAAUGAUGAAAUGACAACAAUUGAGAUGAACCAGAUGAAUAACAUUGAGUGGUAUAUAUAAUGACACACUUCUUUGGAAAAAUGAGAAAACUGUUGAACUGAAUAUUCUUUGUCAAGUUGUAAGGGAUUUCCAAGAUGGAAAUUGUGCCCUACGAGAACAGUUGGAAUCUCUUAAACAAGAACUAGCUUCCGUCAGAAAUGAGCAACCAACAAUAGUAAGCACAAACAAGAAAGCAAACCGCGACCAAUCCCAAAUGGUCUUGAACAAAAUAAACCGCUCAAUUCAGAUGCUCAAGUCGCAGGUGAAAAAUAUGCACAAGACCUCCCCCAUUGUGACAGGUCUGUCUAUUUAUGACCUCUCUGGCACGACUGCUUUCUCAAACCUUACAAUGAGAGAUCAUGCGGCAAAUCCCAAAAGAACUAAGAGAAAGUCUCCUAUCUCAAGAAAAAAAACACACGAGAAAAGGGAAGAGCACGACAGCAUAAAGGCUCGGCACUUAAAAAGGACCUUUGACAAGAUGGAGUCUCCUUCACAGAAGAGAAAACGAAUGAAAUGUUGCCCCCAAAAUAUGCAACAGUCACAAAGUGAUGUGUUCAGAGAAUAUAAAGAGGAAGACCUACUCGUGGGGAAUGAUCAACCAUCGGAAUAUACCAGAAUAUUGGAUAAAAUGGAGUUACCUUCACAGAAGGAGCAAGGAGAGGCCACUGCCGUUGUGCUUAAGGAGCGGAAGUGUGUGCUCGACCUCAAGGCCAAGGAGCACUGCGAGCGAGAGAGAAAUGCACAGGCUCUUUCUGGAGUGGAGGGAGAAGACGCGGAAAGAACAGAGACGCACAUGGCUAAUCCUGCACGGAGCAAGGCUGAACUUUAUAACAAUCCACUAGAAAAGAUUGAGCAAAGAUGAAGAGCUGGCCAACCUCCACCACGACAUCGAAAACCUCGACAGAAGUACGAGGUUGUUAAUUCAGAAUGAUGAAAUGGCAAGAAUUGAGAUAAAUCAAAUUAAGAACAUUAUAAGUAGUAUGUAUAAUGACACACUGCUUUGGAAAUGUGAGAAGACUGUCGAGAUGAAUAAUCUUUGUCAAGUUGUAAGGAAUUUCCAAGAUGAAAAUUGUGCCCUACGAGAACAUUUGGCAUCUCUAAAACAAGAACUGGCUUUUUUAAGAAAUGAGGAACCAACAGUAGUAGGCACAAACAAGAUAGCAAACGUAAUGGUCUUGAAGAAAAUGAACCGCUCAAUUCAGAGGCUCCAAUCACAGGUCAAAAAUAUGCAGAAGACCUCCCCCAUUGUGACUGGUCCGUCUGUUUAUGAUCUCUCUGGCACUACUGCCUUUUCAAACGUUACGACGAGAGAUCAUGCAGCAUAUCCCAAAAGAACCAUGAGAAGGUCUCCUCUCUCAAGAGAAAAAAAACACAAGAAAAAAGAAGAGCAGGACAGCAUAAAGGCUCGGAAAAGGCCCUUAGACAAGAUGGAGUCUGCAACUCGGAAAUUAAAGCGAAUGAAAUGUUGCCCAAAAAACAUGCAAAAGUCACAAAGUGAUAGGCACCCACAAAGCGAAGACCUACUCGCGGGGAAUGCUCAACCAUCGGAAUGUACCAGGAAAAUAGAGGUAAUAGUCAUUGACGAUGAGGACAUCACCUGUGAAAGUUACACUAUUGAGUGAAUCUUGAACAUUGCUGAAUCUUGCUGAACACAGAAAAAUGAUUCCCACAUUACAAAGGCUCCCUGAAAGUCGGCUGCUAUGACCUCAGACACAGUGACAGCCCGUUGGAUGGAGGGAACACCGCCAAAAUGGAGACCUUUCUCAUUUCUCUUGAGAUAUGGGAACAGGAAGAAGUCUACUGAGCUCACGUCAGGGCUGUAUUAGGGCUGCAUCAGCCAUGAUUUGAACCUGGCAGACUUAUUUUUGUUCCCAAAGCUCAAGAUAAGCCAGAAAGGUCCCCGUUUUGACGGUGUUUCCUCCAUUCAAAUUGAAAAAGGUCACAGAAGUUGACUCUCAGGGAGCCUUUGCAGCGUGGGAAUCGUGUUCCAAUAGGUGUAUCAAUGCCCAGGGAAACUAUAUUGAAGAAAUUAAAUAAUAUGUACCAAUCGGAUCAAUCUAUU